CAAUAGCGUAUAUUAAAGUUGUUGCAGUUAAAAAGCUCGUAGUUGGAUUUCGGGGCAGCCUGGCUGGUCCGCCGCAAGGCGAGUACUGGUCAGCCGCCCUUCCUCUCGAAAGCCCCGACUGCUCUUCGUUGCCGUGGUCGGGUAGUUCGGGACGUUUACUUUGAAAAAAUUAGAGUGUUCAAGGCAGGCCUACGCCUGAAUACAUUAGCAUGGAAUAAUGGAAGAGGACCUCGGUCCUAUUUUGUUGGUUUCCAGGGCCGAAGUAAUGAUUAAGAGGGACAGUUGGGGGCAUUCGUAUUUAAUUGUCAGAGGUGAAAUUCUCGGAUUUAUGAAAGACGAACAACUGCGAAAGCAUUUGCCAAGGAUGUUUUCAUUAA
rnacentral:rRNA from 1 species